AUUUAAAUCAGAGAUGAGGGCACAAAUUUUGAAAACUGCUCAGAGAUGCACCAAGAUUUGUCAAUUGAACAAAAACUCAGCCAAUUGUAACUGAGACAACAUAAACUGCUCCUACAUGGUAGACUUAUUUAUAUUGUGGCAACUCUAAACCCAAACUUCAAACAAGUAAAAGCAUAUGUUACUCAAACAAAUAUAAUGCAUAAAGCUGCCAAACAUAUCAGAUUGUUGUGCACGGAACCAACAGCCAAAGAUGAGACAUAAUCAAGUCAGACUCACAGCCAAAGUCUUGAUAGCUACAUUGCAAAAAUCAUCUUUUAGCAAGGAGUUCAUAUGUCAGCAUUUGAUGAUAACACAGGGUAGCUAGGAAGAUUUCAUUCCAUAGAAAGUUACCAUAAAACUCUUAACAAAAUUUGAUAACAUAAAUAAUAAUAAGUUAAGGAUGGG
rnacentral:misc_RNA from 1 species